rnacentral:lncRNA from 1 species
CUCCUCCCGAGUCGCGCCGACCCGGGUCCCGCGCGGGCGGUAAGAGACGGCGGACGAGGCCUCCUCCUGACAGGUCUAAAACCUUCCCUGCGGUUGGGCUAGUUCGCUCUGGGGGAGACCGCCACCUCCCACCUCUCAUUUUAAGUCCCCUGUGCCUCAGACUUUCUCUGCACGCGAUUCCAAGGUGAACAUGAGCUUAUGCAUCUUAGGCAUUAUUGUGAUGGCGAGCACCAAUUCCCUGAUGUGGACCUUCUUCAGUCGGGGCCUCAGUUUCUCCAUGUCUUCAGCCAUUGCAUCUGUCACAGUGACUUUUUCGAACAUCCUCAGCUCAGCUUUCCUGGGCUACGUGCUGUAUGGAGAGUGCCAGGAAGUCCUGUGGUGGGGAGGAGUGUUCCUCAUCCUCUGUGGGCUCACCCUGGUCCACAGGAAGCUCCCGCCCACUUGGAAGGCUCUACCACACAAGCAGCAGUGACACCAGCUGGCAGGACGAAGAGCUGAUAAGGCCACCAUGGUGCCCAGCCUUGGGUUGGUGUGCAGGAUUGCUUCCAGGGGGACCUGGGUAUGCAGCCUUCCUACCGUUGGCCAUGGGGUGAUGCCAGACCAGGCAGGUCUUCGGGCCAGCCCUGCUCCCAAGGGAACAAGCCUCCGAUCUCCAAGCCCUGAGUGCAGAAGCUGUUGCUUCUGUGAGGAGGAGAGGCAGUGCGGCAGUGCUCUUUCGGAGGUGUCCUCAGUCAUCUGCGUAAAGUUUUGAUUCUCAUGUUCCUGAGCCCGGGCGGAUGCUGAGCUCCUGGGUUGCUCAGCUUCAUGUAUGGUGCCUGAAAUCACAGUGUAACUAUAGUUCUGUUGUCCAAGGCCGUCACAAACCUCUAGUGUCAGUGACUGGUGGGGCUUUCUGACAACUCCGUGCCGACUUAUAGGCCAUCUAUGUCAUGCUUAUGUAUUAUGGCAAGCAAAAGGAAAC